AAUGAACGCUAGCGGCAGGCCUAAUACAUGCAAGUCGAACGGUAAGGCCCUUUCGGGGGUACACGAGUGGCGGACGGGUGCGUAACGCGUAUGCAACAUGCCUUCCAGCGGGGGAUAUACCAGGGAAACUUGGCGCAAUACCCCAUAGAAUUACGGGACCGCAUGGUCUUGUGAUUAAAACUCCGGUGCUGGGAGAUUGGCAUGCGUGACAUUAGCUAGUUGGCGGGGUAACGGCCCACCAAGGCGACGAUGUCUAGCUGGUCUGAGAGGAUGAUCAGCCACACUGGAACUGAGACACGGUCCAGACUCCUACGGGAGGCAGCAGUGGGGAAUAUUGGACAAUGGGGGCAACCCUGAUCCAGCCAUGCCGCGUGUGUGAAGAAGGCC
rnacentral:rRNA from 1 species